CCUUCAUCUUUGCACCGAAACUAAAACAAAGAAAAAGAAAGAAAACAAAGUAGGGUUCGGCCUUGUUCAAGCUAGAUUAAGAUCAAGAACCAAAGAAAUCGGAUUUGGACUAGGAAAAAAUGAAAGUUGUCGACUAGCAGCUCCGUCCCGUUUUACGACGUCUGAGGUUUAUCCUUUAAUUCGAGUUGGAAGAGCCGGAGAUAUCAUCACACUAUCGAGUCAUUAUGUGAGUUGAGAAGAUUGUAUAUCAUCAUGGUUUAAGGCAUGUAUAGGAUAGACUAUAGGUAGAAUGAUAUUUCGACUUUGUAUAUAUUAUAGCCAUGCGAAGAUGGCUUGCUCAUUUUGUUUAGAGAAGCCUUAUAAUUGAACUAAUGUGUUGAAAUGUUUUAGUUAUAACUUGAUAGUAGUUAUUUUGUUAUUAAA